UACGGGGGGGGCAAGCGUUGUUCGGAAUUACUGGGCGUAAAGGGCGCGUAGGCGGUCUGUUAAGUCGGAUGUGAAAACUCUGGCUCAACCCAGAGCCUGCAUCCGAAACUGGCAGGCUAGAGUUCUGGAGGGGUAGCGGAAUUCCUGGUGUAGCGGUGAAAUGCGUAGAUAUCAGGAGGAACACCGGUGGCGAAGGCGGCUACCUGGACAGAAACUGACGCUGAGGCGCGAAAGCUAGGGAGCAACAGG
rnacentral:rRNA from 1 species